rnacentral:lncRNA from 1 species
CACAAUUCCCAAAUCCUUGCACUAGGUGGGGCCAGCCUCCUGUUGUGUAGACUCAUCAACUAUACCAGUCCUCUGUUCCUGGUCUCUGGAGCUUCAAUUUGGGAAAGUGACCCAUUAGCUUCUGAGGACCAGGGUGAGAGAGGGCAAACUUGAAUGCCCUUCACAAUGGAGAGAUGUGUGCAGACCGGACAGACAUCAGUUCCUUUAUCAGUGCACAGGUAGCUGCAAUGCCUGCAUGUGGAGAGAUAAAACCCAGACAAAGAGGCAGACAUGAGCAGAUGAGCUCCCCCGAACAGGAGACAAGUGGGCUGAGAGGUGAAGGAAGAGGAUGAGGGCAGCCACGAACGCUCAAUGAGACAUGACAAGUCAAGUGUGGAGCCCAGGCCCUUCACCCAGAGGAGCUCAAAAAAUAUUAGCAGCCGUUACCAUUGGAGCCUCUGCCUCCUAAACCUGCCUCAAUAUCUAUGGAGGGUGGGAGCAGAGUCACUUUUCCUCACUGGACCUCAGUUUACUCCUCAGAAAGACAGCAGUGAUGAUGCCCUCUCAAGAUAUCCUCUAACUCCAG